CAGCCGCCGCGGUAAUACGUAGGGUGCAAGCGUUAUCCGGAAUUAUUGGGCGUAAAGAGCUCGUAGGCGGUUCGUCGCGUCCGGUGUGAAAGUCCAUCGCUUAACGGUGGAUCUGCGCCGGGUACGGGCGGGCUGGAGUGCGGUAGGGGAGACUGGAAUUCCCGGUGUAACGGUGGAAUGUGUAGAUAUCGGGAAGAACACCAAUGGCGAAGGCAGGUCUCUGGGCCGUUACUGACGCUGAGGAGCGAAAGCGUGGGGAGCGAACAGGAUUAGAUACCCUGGUAGUCCACGCCGUAAACGGUGGAUGCUGGAUGUGGGGCCCAUUCCACGGGUUCCGUGUCGGAGCUAACGCGUUAAGCAUCCCGCCUGGGGAGUACGGCCGCAAGGCUAAAACUCAAAGAAAUUGACGGGGGCCCGCACAAGCGGCGGAGCAUGCGGAUUAAUUCGAUGCAACGCGAAGAACCUUACCUGGGCUUGACAUGUUCCGGACAGCCUCGGAGACGGGGCCUCCCCUCGGGGCCGGUUCACAGGAGGUGCAUGGCC
rnacentral:rRNA from 1 species